GCCCGCCUAGCUCAAUCGGAUAGAGCGUCAGACUUUUAGGGAGUCUGUUUAGGUGGACACUUCAAUCUGAAGGCUGCGGGUUCGACCCCCGCGGUGGGCU